UCUGUAAGCCUGUGAAGGUGGCCUGUGAGGGUUGCUGGAGGUAUCAGAAGUGCGAAUGCUGACAUAAGUAACGAUAAAGCGGGUGAAAAGCCCGCUCGCCGGAAGACCAAGGGUUCCUGUCCAACGUUAAUCGGGGCAGGGUGAGUCGACCCCUAAGGCGAGGCCGAAAGGCGUAGUCGAUGGGAAACAGGUUAAUAUUCCUGUACUUGGUGUUACUGCGAA
rnacentral:rRNA from 1 species